rnacentral:rRNA from 1 species
ACACGUAUGAAAGACAAGCUGAUAGACUUUUCUCAAUGAUGUAAGUGGUGGUGCAUGGUCGUUCUUAGUUCGUGGAUUGAUUUGUCUGGUCUAUUCCGAUAACGAGCGAGACCCCUCCGUUCCUACUAGGGGCGGCAGCCCGGCUUACCCUGCCCUCACGGGCGGGGUCUGCUAGCAGCCGCCUAAGAAUCAACUUCUUAGACGUAUCAGGGCCGAUAAGGUCCUUGAAAUGGGUUAAUAACAGGUCAGUCAUGCCCUUAGAUGUUCUGGGCCGCACGCGCGUUACAAUGGUAUACAUUAGAACGUGCUCCUCUGGGGCUUCUCCGCGGCCGACGGGUCGCGGUAACCCCUAGUCUCUUCCUUGACUGGGACAGACUAUUGCAAUUAUUGGUCUCCAACGAGGAAUUUUUAGUAGUCGCAGGUCAUUAACCUGCGACGA